rnacentral:lncRNA from 1 species
CUUAUUCUCAAAAUACAUUUUAUUACCCAAUCUGCUCCCGACAUUAAAUAAAACUCCAAAAAUUAAAUUCCGGCCCUCAAACCCCACAACAGGACCUAAUUAACCUUGCCUUCAAGGUGUACAAUAAUAGAGCAGAGGCAGCCAAGUAGCAACAUAUUUCUGAGUUGCAAUUCCUUGCCUCCACUGUGAGACAAACCCCAGCCACAUGUCCAGCACACAAGAACUUCCAAACGCCUAAACCACAGUGGCCAGGUGUUCCUCCAGAACAUCCUCCCCCAGGAGCUUGCUACAAGUGCCAGAAAUCUGGCCACCACCCCAAGGAAUGCCCGCAGCCCAGGAUUCCUCCUAAGCCGUGUCCCAUCUGUGCAGGACCCCACUGGAAAUCAGACUGUUCAACUCACCUGGCAGCCACUCCCAGAGCCCCUGGAACUCUGGCCCAAGGCUCUCUGACUGACUCCUUCCCAGAUCUUCUCGGCUUAGUGGCUGAAGACUGAUGCUACCUGAUUGCCUCGGAAGCCCCACAGACCAUCACAGACGCCGAGCUUUAAGUAACUCUCACAGUGGAAGACAGGAAUGUCAGGACUCUGAGCCCAAGCUAAGCCAUCAUACCCCCUGUGACCUGCACGUACACAUCCAGAUGGCCAGUUCCUGCCUUAACUGAUGACAUUCCACCACAAAAUAAGUGAAAAUGGCCUGUUCCUGCCUUAAAGGAUGGCAUUAUCUUGUGAAAUUCCUUCUCCUGGCUCAUCCUGGCUCAAAAGCUCCCCGACUGAGCACCUUGUGACCACCACUCCUGCCCGCCAGAGAACAACACCC